rnacentral:rRNA from 1 species
CGGGUGAGUAACACGUGGGUGAUCUGCCCUGCACUUCGGGAUAAGCUUGGGAAACUGGGUCUAAUACCGGAUAGGAGCCAUCUUUAGUGUGGUGGUUGGAAAGUUUUUCGGUGUAGGAUGAGCUCGCGGCCUAUCAGCUUGUUGGUGGGGUAAUGGCCUACCAAGGCGGCGACGGGUAGCCGGCCUGAGAGGGUGUACGGCCACAUUGGGACUGAGAUACGGCCCAG